rnacentral:misc_RNA from 1 species
CGAAAAGAGAGAAAACAGUUGAAGCUAAAACUGCCUAUAUCUUACAGAUAUUCCUUUGGAGGAACUGUUUCUCAAAGAAAAACUAUUUCUCAGUCGAUUUAACCAUGACAAUUUCAUUUCACCAGAGCCAGUGCACUGACCCUCAUCCUCCCCCUCGCUGCUGAAAAGGGUUUGGUCACCGCAGUCCAGUGAAGCUCCACAUGCUAGGUUAUAAGCCUGGCAUGCAGAAUGGCAUACUCGUAGCCGGUUGUCUCCAUCCUUCUCACACUUCUGGAUUGAGAUCUGGAAAUUAAGUACCAAGAUCUUUAGUCAAAUAAGCAACAUUACCACCUAAUGGUCAAAGUUCUAGAGA